rnacentral:rRNA from 1 species
UACGAAGGGUGCAAACGUUGCUCGGAAUUAUUGGGCGUAAAGCGCACGUAGGCGGCAUUGCAAGUCGGAUGUGAAAUCUUAUGGCUUAACCAUAAAAGUGCAUCCGAAACUGCAGUGCUUGAGUACUAAAGAGGGUCGCGGAAUUCCCGGUGUAGAGGUGAAAUUCGUAGAUAUCGGGAGGAACACCGGUGGCGAAGGCGGCGACCUGGGUAGAUACUGACGCUGAGGCGCGAAAGCGUGGGGAGCAAACAGG